UCUUAUGUACAUGCCUACAACAUAGAAUUAAUGCAUCAGAUCCCAUUAGAACUGCGCAGUUAAUUGCACUUGGGAUAGAUUAGUUCUAGGAUGGGUUACUGCUUAAGAAUUCCUACUCUUUUACAAGCC
rnacentral:rRNA from 1 species